GCACAAGCGGUGGAGCAUGUGGUUUAAUUCGAUGCAACGCGAAGAACCUUACCUGGCCUUGACAUCUGUCGAAUCCUGCAGAGAUGCGGGAGUGCCUUCGGGAACGACAAGACAGGUGCUGCAUGGCUGUCGUCAGCUCGUGUCGUGAGAUGUUGGGUUAAGUCCCGCAACGAGCGCAACCCUUGUCCUUAGUUGCCAUCAUUUAGUUGGGAACUCUAAGGAGACCGCCGGUGACAAACCGGAGGAAGGUGGGGAUGACGUCAAGUCAUCAUGGCCUUUAUGGCCAGGGCUACACACGUGCUACAAUGGCAGGUACAGAGGGAAGCCAACUCGCGAGAGGGAGCCAAUCCCAGAAAGCCUGUCGUAGUCCGGAUCGGAGUCUGCAACUCGACUCCGUGAAGUCGGAAUCGCUAGUAAUCGCAGAUCAGCAUUGCUGCGGUGAAUACGUUCCCGGGC
rnacentral:rRNA from 1 species